rfam:Rhizobium freirei PRF 81 Cont720, whole genome shotgun sequence.
GAAAAACUCGAUGGUUCUUAUCGUGGUGGGAAGGCGCAUGGGCAGGAUGGUGUAACCAUCCGGCGACAGCCACCCAUGCGCUAGAUGACAGGCUCCCCAAGGGGCCUUUUUUUAUGCCCGAAA